GGCAGUCUCGGGGUCUACCAGAAAGAGGUAACGGAGGGGGAACACAAUAAAUAACAGAGCAAUCAAAGUAUAACAUGGCAAUGCGCGGUGCUAGAGGUGACCUAACGCGGUAGUAAGUGAUACUGGUGAAGGGGGAAAACAUCCGGGAAAGUAUCCCCGGUGUUUCGCGUUUUCGGACAGAUGAACCGGAGGGGGAAAGUUGUGUGUUUGCUAUGCUAGGGAUGUGUGGCGGAUGAACGGGCUGCGCAUCCGGAUUCGUCUCGUCGUUCUGAGCAACUUUCAUGUACAACGUUUUUCCAUCCGAGCUAUGGUUUAUUUUAUAUUAAUUUUAAAAGGUUUAAAUCAUUUUUUAGCUUUUAUUUAAUUAUUUUAAUCCAACAUUAUCCAGAAUAGUGCACGCUGACGUCAGCAUGACGUCAGCAGUCAACAGAGGCGUUGACUGGCCAAAUGACAUGCGGGUCCCGUUCGUCAUUGACUGUUUAGUCUAAUUAGGGUUUAACUAGUCUAAUUACUGUUUAAUUAAACUAACUAGUUAAUUAGAUUAAUUAAAUAGUAUUAAUUAACUUAAUUAAUUAAUUAAUUUAAUUACUAUUUAUUUAUUUUUUUAUAUUUAUUUUUUUACUGUUCCAGGGGCUGGGCCCCACUUGCAAGUGGCCUAGAGGCCACCCAUGGCGGGCGCGUCGAACGGGCGGGCGAACCCGCCCGAACGGGCACGGGCGAAGGGGCACGCCAGGGCGCCGGUGCCGGACGCCGGAGAUGGCCGCGGGGUGCGCGGCCGACGGCUAUGGCCGGCCGGAGCGGGCGCGGCGGGGCGAGGGGACAGGGCGGCUCCGGCAGCGGUGGGCGGCAGGGUCAGCGAGCGGAGACCGCGGUCGGGCUCCAGCAGCGCGGCGGCAGUAGACGAGCGGGGCGGCGCGGCGAGGCAAGUGGGGCGAGCUGUGCGGCGGCCCUGACGAGCAGCAGCACCAGGGCGCACGAUAGCGGGCGCAUGCGCAGCAGCAGCAGUCGAGGCCAAGGCCUACAGGCGGGCACGCGCGGAGGCGCGGUCGUACGCGGACCGAGGGGAGGUGCGGCGAGCACGGCGACUACGGCGACGAUUCGUCGUGGAAAAUAGAGGGAUGGGGGGGACAGCGACUCACAGCGCACUCGACGACGGCGUAGCAGGCUCGGGGUUGCGCUCGUGGUGGCGAUUCGUCGACGACGAGGUAGAAGCGACGGCCGACGAUGGGGAUCGACGAUUGCGACGGCGUGAGGGCGUCCCUGCUCGCGCGACUUGCCGUAGACGAAGAGGGUGAAGGUGCGCGUCUCCUGGACCUGCUGGAUAGGCGAGGGGAGGCCGGUGUCCGCGCCAACGUCGACGGCGCAGCCAU
rnacentral:lncRNA from 1 species